rnacentral:rRNA from 1 species
GACGAACGCUGGCGGCGCGCCUAACACAUGCAAGUCGAACGGAGUCACGAGGAGCUUGCUUUUCUUGACCUAGUGGCGAACGGGUGAGUAACGCGUGAGUAACCUGCCCUGGAGUGGGGGACAACAGUUGGAAACGACUGCUAAUACCGCAUAAGCCCACGGAUCCGCAUGGAUCUGCGGGAAAAGGAUUUAUUCGCUUCAGGAUGGACUCGCGUCCAAUUAGCUAGUUGGUGAGGUAACGGCCCACCAAGGCGACGAUUGGUAGCCGGACUGAGAGGUUGAACGGCCACAUUGGGACUGAGACACGGCCCAGACUCCUACGGGAGGCAGCAGUGGGGGAUAUUGCACAAUGGGGGAAACCCUGAUGCAGCGACGCCGCGUGGAGGAAGAAGGUUUUCGGAUUGUAAACUCCUGUCGUUAGGGACGAUAAUGACGGUACCUAACAAGAAAGCACCGGCUAACUACGUG